rnacentral:rRNA from 1 species
GUGGGGAAUAUUGGGCAAUGGGCGAAAGCCUGACCCAGCAACGCCGCGUGAAGGAAGAAGGUCUUCGGAUCGUAAACUUCUAUCCUUGGUGAAGAUAAUGACGGUACCUGGUGAAUAAGCCACGGCUAACUACGUGCCAGCAGCCGCGGUAAUACGUAGGUGGCGAGCGUUAUCCGGAUUUAUUGGGUGUAAAGGGCGUGUAGGCGGGACAGCAAGUCAGAUGUGAAAACCAGAGGCUCAACCUCUGGCCGGCAUUUGAAACUGUUGUUCUUGAGUGUCGGAGAGGUAAUCGGAAUUCCGUGUGUAGCGGUGAAAUGCGUAGAUAUACGGAGGAGCACCAGUGGCGAAGGCGGAUUACUGGACGGUAACUGACGCUGAGGCGCGAAAGCGUGGGGAGCAAACAGGAUUAGAAACCCUGGUAGUCC